AGCGAACGCUGGCGGCAGGCCUAACACAUGCAAGUCGAACGAACUCUUCGGAGUUAGUGGCGGACGGGUGAGUAACACGUGGGAACGUGCCUUUAGGUUCGGAAUAACUCAGGGAAACUUGUGCUAAUACCGAAUGUGCCCUUCGGGGGAAGGAUUUAUCGCCUUUAGAGCGGCCCGCGUCUGAUUAGCUAGUUGGUGAGGUAAAGGCUAACCAAGGCGACGAUCAGUAGCUGGUCUGAGAGGAUGAUCAGCCACAUUGGGACUGAGACACGGCCCAAACUCCUACGGGAGGCAGCAGUGGGGAAUCUUGCGCAAUGGGCGAAAGCCUGACGCAGCCAUGCCGCGUGAAUGAUGAAGGUCUUAGGAUUGUAAAAUUCUUUCACCGGGGACGAUAAUGACGGUACCCGGAGAAGAAGCCCCGGCUAACUUCGUGCCAGCAGCCGCCGUAA
rnacentral:rRNA from 1 species